AUCCUACGGGAGGCAGCAGUGAGGAAUAUUGGUCAAUGGGCGGGAGCCUGAACCAGCCAAGUCGCGUGAGGGAAGACGGUCCUAUGGAUUGUAAACCUCUUUAGGCGGGGAGCAAUGCCGGGCACGCGUGCCCGGAGGGAGAGUACCCGCAGAAUAAGCAUCGGCUGACUCCGUGCCAGCAGCCGCGGUAAUACGGAGGAUGCGAGCGUUAUCCGGAAUUAUUGGGCGUAAAGGGUGCGUAGAUGGCAUAGUAAGUCUUUUGUAAAAAUGCUGGGCUCAACCCAGUAGGGCAAAAGAUACUGCAA
rnacentral:rRNA from 1 species